rnacentral:rRNA from 1 species
AACGCGAAGAACCUUACCCAGGCUCGAAAUAUAGAGGGCGAUAACAGAGAUGUUAUCUUCCGUAAGGACCUUUAUAUAGGUGCUGCAUGGCUGUCGUCAGCUCGUGCCGUGAGGUGUUGGGUUAAGUCCCGCAACGAGCGCAACCCUUAUCAUUAGUUGCCAACAUUUAAGGUGGGGACUCUAAUGAGACUGCCUGGGUUAACCAGGAGGAAGGUGAGGAUGACGUCAAGUCCGCAUGGCCUUUAUGUCUGGGGCUACACACGUGCUACAAUGGUCGGUACAGAAGGCAGCGAAACCGUAAGGUGGAGCAAAUCCCAAAAGCCGAUCUCAGUUCAGAUUGUGGUCUGCAACUCGACCACAUGAAGUUGGAAUUGCUAGUAAUGACGAGUCAGCAACAUCGUCGUGAAUACGUUCCCGGGCCUUGUA